AAUGGAUGAAAUACGUAUCUUCUAUAACAGAUACUGCCAGGCUGAACAAAGAGCCCCAAGGGCAGCAGUCCACAAGGGACACAUAGAAAACGCAGGUUCCCUUCGAAAGGAGCAGCUACUUUGAUUAGUUUGAAGCAGA